rnacentral:sRNA from 12 species
AUGAGGAGGUCCCCAAAUGAUGCGAAGCAUCAUUUUUAUGCAUGGGACCGACGAACUGCCUCCGAAGCUUUAGCUGAGGCGGCGAUACCAUAA